GACGAACGCUGGCGGCGUGCUUAACACAUGCAAGUCGAACGAGAAGAGAUGAGAAGCUUGCUUCUUAUUGAUUCGAGUGGCAAACGGGUGAGUAACGCGUAAGCAACCUGCCCUUCAGAUGGGGACAACAGCUGGAAACGGCUGCUAAUACCGAAUACGUUCUUUUUGUCGCAUGGCAGAGGGAAGAAAGGGAGGCUCUUCGGAGCUUUCGCUGAAGGAGGGGCUUGCGUCUGAUUAGCUAGUUGAGGGGUAACGGCCCACCAAGGCGACGAUCAGUAGCCGGCCUGAGAGGGUGAACGGCCACAUUGGAACUGAGACA
rnacentral:rRNA from 1 species